rnacentral:rRNA from 1 species
AACGAACGCUGGCGGCGUGGAUAAGACAUGCAAGUCGAACGGGAUUACUGGUGUAGCAAUACAUCAGUGGUCUAGUGGCGUAAGGGUGCGUAACACGUGGGCAAUCUGCCGAGAAGUGGGGGAUAGCUCGCCGAAAGGCGAAUUAAUACCGCAUGUGGUUAAUGUUGGAUUCAACAUGACACCAAAGCCGGGGCAACCUGGCGCUUCUUGAUGAGCCCGCGGCCUAUCAGCUAGUUGGUGAGGUAACGGCUCACCAAGGCUAUGACGGGUAGCUGGUCUGAGAGGACGACCAGCCACACUGGAACUGAGACACGGUCCAGACACCUACGGGUGGCAGCAGUCGAGUAAUUUUUCUCAA